CACGCCAUAAACGAUGGAUACUUGUUGUUGGAGGUAUUGACCCCUUCAGUGACGAAGCUAACGCGUUAAGUAUCCCGCCUGGGGAGUACGGUCGCAAGAUUAAAACUCAAAGAAAUUGACGGGGGCCCGCACAAGCGGUGGAGCAUGUGGUUUAAUUCGAUGCAACGCGAAGAACCUUACCUAGGCUUGACAUGUACUGGAAGAGUAGCAGAAAUGCUCUCGCCUUCGGGCCGGUACACAGGUGC
rnacentral:rRNA from 1 species